GUGCGGGCGAUACGGGCAGACUUGAGUACUGCAGGGGAGGCUGGAAUUCCUGGUGUAGCGGUGGAAUGCGCAGAUAUCAGGAGGAACACCGGUGGCGAAGGCGGGUCUCUGGGCAGUAACUGACGCUGAGGAGCGAAAGCGUGGGGAGCGAACAGGAUUAGAUACCCUGGGUAGUCCACGCCGUAAACGGUGGGUACUGGGUGUGGGUUUCCUUCCUUGGGAUCCGUGCCGUAGCUAACGCAUUAAGUACCCCGCCUGGGGAGUACGGCCGCAAGGCUAAAACUCAAAGAAAUUGACGGGGGCCCGCACAAGCGGCGGAGCAUGUGGAUUAAUUCGAUGCAACGCGAAGAACCUUACCUGGGUUUGACAUGCACAAGACGCCGGCAGAGAUGUCGGUUCCCUUGUGGCCUGUGUGCAGGUGGUGCAUGGCUGUCGUCAGCUCGUGUCGUGAGAUGUUGGGUUAAGUCCCGCAACGAGCGCAACCCUUGUCUCAUGUUGCCAGCGGGUAAUGCCGGGGACUCGUGAGAGACUGCCGGGGUCAACUCGGAGGAAGGUGGGGAUGACGUCAAGUCAUCAUGCCCCUUAUGUCCAGGGCUUCACACAUGCUACAAUGGCC
rnacentral:rRNA from 1 species